UACCAGCUCUCCGAGUUGUAGGGAUGAUUAUUGGGCUUAAAGCGUCCGUAGCUGGCUUAGCAAGUCUCCUGUUAAAUUCAGCGACCUAAUCGUUGAGCCGCGGGAGAUACUACUAGGCUAGGAGGCGGGAGAGGUCGACGGUACUUUCGGGGUAGGGGUGAAAUCCUAUAAUCCCGGGAGGACCACCAGUGGCGAAGGCUGUCGACUAGAACGCGCUCGACGGUGAGGGACGAAAGCUGGGGGAGCGAACCGGAUUAGAUACCCGGGUAGUCCCAGCUGUAAACUAUGCGGGCUAGGUGUUGGGGUGGCUACGGGCCACUUCAGUGCCGCAGGAAAGCCAUUAAGCCCGCCGCCUGGGGAGUACGGCCGCAAGGCUGAAACUUAAAGGAAUUGGCGGGGAGCACCACAAGGGGUGAAGCUUGCGGUUU
rnacentral:rRNA from 1 species